rnacentral:misc_RNA from 1 species
GAUGAAGAACGUAGCGAAAUGCGAUAAGUAAUGUGAAUUGCAGAAUUCAGUGAAUCAUCGAAUCUUUGAACGCACCUUGCACCCUUUGGCAUUCCGAAGGGUAUGCUCGUUUGAGUGUCAUUGUACUCUCACACUUCUGAUCCUUUGGAUUGGGAGCGGUGUACUUGGGUGUUGCUGCUUUACUGUGGCUCACCUCAAAUGCAUUCGUGCAACUCUUGGUUGGACAUAGUACGGCGUGAUAAGUAUCUUCGCCGGCACCUCGCAAGAGGGUGGCUGAUCAGGAGCUCUGUGCUUUCCAACUGUCUUCAGACAACAACUGACAACUUGACCUCAAAUCGAGUAGGACCACCCGCUGAACUUAAGCAUAUCAAUAAGCGGAGGA